rnacentral:rRNA from 1 species
AGUGAACGCUGGCGGUAGGCCUAACACAUGCAAGUCGAACGGCAGCACAGUAAGAGCUUGCUCUUACGGGUGGCGAGUGGCGGACGGGUGAGGAAUACAUCGGAAUCUACUUUUUCGUGGGGGAUAACGUAGGGAAACUUACGCUAAUACCGCAUACGACCUACGGGUGAAAGCAGGGGGUCUUCGGACCUUGCGCGAUUGAAUGAGCCGAUGUCGGAUUAGCUAGUUGGCGGGGUAAAGGCCCACCAAGGCGACGAUCCGUAGCUGGUCUGAGAGGAUGAUCAGCCACACUGGAGCUGAGACACGGUCCAGACUCCUACGGGAGGCAGCAGUGGGGAAUAUUGGACAAUGGGCGCAAGCCUGAUCCAGCCAUACCGCGUGGGUGAAGAAGGCCUUCGGGUUGUAAAGCCCUUUUGUUGGGAAAGAAAAGCAGCAGGUUAAUACCCCGCUGUUCUGACGGUACCCAAAGAAUAAGCACCGGCUAACUUCGUG